CCAAUAGCGUAUAUUAAAGUUGUUGCAGUUAAAAAGCUCGUAGUUGAAUUUCGGGAUCAAUAUAUCGGUCGUGCCAUUGGUACGUACUGGUAUCAUUGGUUUCUCCUUUCUGACGAACCAUGAUGUCAUUAAUUUGGUGUUAUGGGAAGUUUGGACUGUUACUUUGAAAAAAUUAGAGUGUUUAAAGCAGGCUUUAGCUUGAAUACAUUAGCAUGGAAUAAUGAAAUAGGACGUUCGAACCUAUUUUGUUGGUUUCUAGGAUCAACGUAAUGAUUAAUAGGGAUAGUUGGGGGCAUUAGUAUUCAAUUGUCAGAGGUGAAAUUCUUGGAUUUAUUGAAGACUAACUACUGCGAAAGCAUUUGCCAAGGAUGUUUUCAUUAAUCAAGAACGAAAGUUAGGGGAUCGAAGACGAUCAGAUACCGUCGUAGUCUUAACCAUAAACUAUGCCGACUAGGGAUCGGAUGAUGUUAAUUUUUUAAUGACUCAUUCGGCGCCUUACG
rnacentral:misc_RNA from 1 species